CAUCCUUAAAUCAUGAUUAAUUUAUAGCCCUUUCUCUCCUUGGUGAGGCCUGACACAAGCAACUGCUUUUCUGUCACAUUGAUUUUUCUGUCCUUGCAGAUUCAGAGCCAGGGUUGAGUCCUCCUCACAGGGUGAGUUCUCUGACAAGGAAGUUUUGCAACCCAGUUUACAGCUGGAGCCAAGCUUGUCAGUGAGUGCCAGAGGGAAACUGUCGCAAUUGGCUGGCUAAGUAUGUUCAUUUAACAAGGGUCUCUGAAGAGCUAUCAAAAACUGCUUGCCAUCUUUCCAAAUCAUCUCUGUCUGCAGUGACCAUGUCUUAAUCCUGAAGGAAAACAAGACAUGGUAAUUAGAAACCAGGAAGACUGAGAAAGAAUCAGAUUUGCAGCAGCUCAGUAAGCGGUAGACCUGGAACAAGAAGCCAGUUUUCUGAGCUCCUGAAGCAAGGCCCCCCCUGCCACUUCGUCUUUCCCCAGGACAGGAGGUGUCAUCUACUACUUAGACCAGAAGAUAGGAUGCAAAAUCUCAACGGAGGAAUUUCUUACAGAAUGCAAUUGCACUAGAAAAGACAAUCUUGCUUGAAGAUGUGACUGACCUCAGACACAGGAAUUCAGACAUCUUACUGCCUGCCUCUUUGCCAUUAAGAAAACAGAUACUGGCUCCCCAAACCCACGAUUAAGAAAGAAGCUGGAAGAACUCUCAGAAUAGUUUUCAAGAUCAUGAGUGCCCUUGCCAAAACUCAGUGGAAAAGUCUCUAGAGAAACAGAGGUCAUAGAAGUUUAAAGGUUUGGUUAUUUUUUAAAGUUUUUUACUACCUUCCCAGUAAAUAUUGCCUUAAUUCUUCAUUCUUACUAGCAGAUUGUCAUUUAGCACCCAAUAAUUCUCUUAUUAAAGCCUAGAGAGAGAGUUAUUAUUUUCAGGGAUGGGUAAAUUUAACUGCCUUGCUCUCUUUCACAAUUUUGCAAAGUAGCUCAGGGAUCAAAGCUCUUCUCAUUUUCCCCCCGAAUAUAUUCCUCUUUUAUUGUACAACAUAAAACCUUAACUACUGAGAAUCAAAUGUACCAUAAGAGAAAAAUACCUCAUGGCAAAGUAAUUGCAGAGUGGAAACAACCCUAGGUGUAAGCUAUAGGCUUGGUUCUAUGAAGGAGUGACUAAUUUUUUGACUCUCAAAAAGCUUUUUAACCUCUGUCUUCUCUUAAAUUAAUAAAUGUGAAUAAAGGAUUUUUUUCUCUAUAUAA
rnacentral:lncRNA from 13 species